rnacentral:rRNA from 1 species
ACUCAAAGGAAUUGACGGGGACCCGCACAAGCGGUGGAUGAUGUGGUUUAAUUCGAUGCAACGCGAAAAACCUUACCCACCUUUGACAUGUAUGGAAGAUCGCAGAGACGCGAUUGUGCUCGAAAGAGAGCCAUAACACAGGUGCUGCAUGGCUGUCGUCAGCUCGUGUCGUGAGAUGUUGGGUUAAGUCCCGCAACGAGCGCAACCCUUGCCAUUAGUUGCUACAUUUAGUUGGGCACUCUAAUGGGACUGCCGGUGACAAACCGGAGGAAGGUGGGGAUGACGUCAAGUCCUCAUGGCCCUUAUAGGUGGGGCUACACACGUCAUACAAUGGCUGGUACAAAGGGUUGCCAACCCGCGAGGGGGAGCUAAUCCCAUAAAGCCAGUCGUAGUCCGGAUCGCAGUCUGCAACUCGACUGCGUGAAGUCGGAAUCGCUAGUAAUCGUGGAUCAGAAUGUCACGGUGAAUACGUUCCCGGGUCUUGUACACACCGCCCGU